GCCCCCACCCUUUGUCCCACAAGUGGGAGGGGGCGACCGUGGCGAAGGGUCCCAGAAUGGGCAACCGGCAUGGGGGUGUCGACCGUGGGCACCGUUCCCCGCCUUUGGGUGCUCAGGGUACAAGGGGCCGAGGCCCCGCUCUCACCCACCCGCGCACGGACUCCAGCCCCGGGACCGACGGCAGUGGCGGCGCCCAUGCCCAGCGCAGGGGAGCGUCUGCAAAGUGUCGCGGAGAGAAGCGCCCACCCACCAGUAAGCGGGCGUAGCGGCAGAGGAGGGGGAGAACUGGAUGGCGGAGCGCGGAGACGUGGGCACUAACCGAAUCAGGCCUGCCGAGCCUGGGGCGCCUCUUCCUGGAGCCCAGCACUGCAUAAAACUGGUUGAAACAGAAGAAUCAGAAGUUCAAGGUUAUCUUCUCCAAUAUAUUGAGUUGGAGGCCGGCCUGGGCUACAUGAAAUCGCAUCUGAAAACAAGGAUGGAGAGCAGCUGUGAUUCUUGCCAGUGACCCAGCAGGGGAAAGUAAGGUCUCCAGAGGAGACCAGCCAUUCCUAGGAAACCCUAACUAAGACAUCUGCCAAUCAGCCUGAGUCUACAGAAGCGGCAAGAAGCCACUGGAAUCUGACGUCACGAGAAGUUCCUUGAUGGUGAAAUUCAAAUACAAAGACCUAUGUCCAAGACUGGUGAGGUGGCCCAGGAGGGUCAACUGUCUUGCUACCAAGCUCAACAACCUUCUUCUGACUCCCUAACCUGAGUUUAACCCCUGAGACCCACAUGAUGGAUAAAGAGAACUUGCUCCUGCAAGUUGUCCCCUGACCUCCAGGAACAUGGCAUGCCUGAACACACAAAUGCAUGCACACAUACACAUACACACACGCAAAAAUAAAUGUUUUGGGGUUGUUUUGUUUUGAGACAAGGUUUCUGUGUAGCCCUGGCUGUCCUGGAAUUGGCUCUGUAGACCAGGCUAACCUUAAAUUCAGAGAUCCACCUGCCUCUGCCCCUCAAGUGCUAAGAUCAAAGGCGUGCGUCACCACCGGUGACUGGUGGGGGUGGGGAGUUGUUUGUUUUAAGACAGGAUCUCACUAUGCAGCACUGACUGGCCUGGAACUCAGAGAGUAUGCCUUUCUACUUGCUUCUCCCUCCCUAAAGUGAUUGGAUUAAAGGCAUGCACCACCAA
rnacentral:lncRNA from 1 species